rnacentral:rRNA from 1 species
GACAGAGGGUGCAAACGUUGUUCGGAAUUACUGGGCGUAAAGCGUGUGUAGGCGGUCUCAUAAGUCGGAUGUGAAAGCCCCGGGCUCAACCCGGGAAGUGCACUCGAAACUGCGAGGCUAGAGUAUCGGAGAGGUUGGUGGAAUUCUCGGUGUAGAGGUGAAAUUCGUAGAUAUCGAGAGGAACACCGGUGGCGAAGGCGGCCAACUGGACGAAUACUGACGCUCAGGCACGAAAGCGUGGGGAGCGAACAGG